AAAGGUGUGAAAUGGGAUUGGGCCCAAGUGUAGUAUCUGUUCUUAUCAGUUUAAUCUCUGAUAUGUGCUCUAUACGAGGACUGUAUAUUACAUUUACUUUUAGAACAGGGAGACGGAAGAGGAGCUUGCUCUGUCCGCUCCAUGGAUCGACCUGGUAUUGCAGUACCCCCAGGAAUGGUGCACCUCCU
ensembl:snRNA U2 U2 spliceosomal RNA